CUUUUACCAAAGGCCUCAUCACCUUUACGGAAACGUCAUCCUCUAGUCUCAGUACCACUCUGGCUGGUCGGAUACUUACUUUUCAAAAUACAGCUUGAGUCAUUGUCCUGAAUCCUUCCUACCCUCCAGUCUCAAAGCACAUGUAUCUCUUGUUCCAUGAUCCAAAAGAAGGAGAAGGGGCUUAAGUGUGAUGCAAGUCUGGGUUCACAUCUUGACCUGCUGCUUACUGAGUGGGUGACUUAGAGCAAGUCACUUAUCCUCUCUGAGCCCCAGAAUAUAUAUUUUUAUAUAUAUGGUAUAGUAUAGUACAGUAUAUAUAGUCACCAAGGCUCAGAAAUUGAUAUAUAUAUAUUUAGUAUUUUUUAAUUUCUAAAAUAGUGAUGAUAAUUCCUACUUUUCAGGAUUGUUGUAUAUAUUAUAUAAUAUAGUUAGUGUAUACAAUUUGCACAACAAAGAUGCAUAAUAUAUUUUAGCUAUUAUUAUUAUUAGCUGUAGUGGCAGAGACAGCCCCUGCCUCUCCUUGCAUGUAGGUGUGUACAUAUAACAUGGAGACAGUGGAAUGUAAGAGCUGUGUGUCACUCCUGGGGUAAAGAUUUUAGAAAAGGACAGGACUUCCCUACUGUCUCUUUCCAUUUCUGUUGGCUGGAAGCAGAAAACAAAGAGCCCCUAGGAAAUGGUGAAGCCACAAGAUCUAUGGAGCCUGGAGUCCUUAAAUUACUACCUGGGAGACAGCUACCUGUCACCCAGGAACACCUGCAAUGGGCUGUUUUAUAAGGAAGAAACAAACUUAUUUUGGGUUAGGUCCCUAAAAUUCUGGGUUUUGUUUAUUAUAGCUGUUAGUGUUAAUUGUCCUGGUAAAUUUAGAAAUUGGCACUUUGAAGUGGAGGUUAAUGUAAGAAAAACCUAAGAUAUGUUGCAUCGACUCAGCAGUUGGAUGGUGGGUGGCACAGACACUGAUAUCAAAGGCUGGGAAGAUGGAGACCUGUGGAAGAGAUGGCAGAGCAUUUGGUAAAUCUGUUGCUGGUGAUUAUUUAAAAGGCAUGCCCAGUGCCUGACAAGUCUUUAUCUCCAGGGGAGAGGCUGGCUAUUACUUAUUGUAUUCAGCAAGGUAUAACCAGACAGAUGUGCUCUGCUAAGAACUCGUUUGCAUGAGUGCAGAAAUUAAACAGUCUAGACAGAGUCCAGAAAUCUGAUGUUUCACAGGAUUGGAAAAGCAUUAUUGUUCUCAACCCAUAGAAGGUAUCACUGAAAAAGGCUUUGAGCAACAUAGGUCCAUUUAAAAAAUCUCAAUUUAAUAGAUACCAUGCUAGCAUCUACAGACUAGGAAAUAAGUAGGGACUGUUCUCUGCCUUCAAGGAGUUUAUAACUUAGUAGAAAAGAGAAAAAUGUGUACAAAUAACUGCAGUGGAAGACAGUUAAUGAUUGAAACAUACAUUGCUAUAAAUAAUGCAAGAAUCACAGCAUUCUAGGGUAGCCCAGAAUAGGGGCUCUCAAAAGGACUGGGGAGCUUGGACCUUGGUUUCUCAUCAAACCCUGAAACCCAUGAAUGAAUGAAUAAACCUCAAUUGUUUCCCAAACUCAUUUUCAUCUUCCUGAAACACUAGAGUUCAAAUUUGGUCUCUGGGGUAGUAGCUGAUCCUCUGGGCAUUGAGGAGCUCCCUCAGGCCAGCCCAUGACUUUCCUAUCAGUGUUCUUCUCUGCCUUUACAAGUAGUUCAGACUGAGACUUGUAUGGGUUCCCUACUGAGGGCCUCAUUUCUGUAACAGAAGAGGGCUCUGACAUCCUUAUUUUUCUUCAACUGCCCUGAGAUGAUGAGAUGCCCCAGACCUGAAAGCACCGUUGUGUUUGCUGAGACUGCUUGUUUUUAUUGUCUCUUGUGUUUUAAAUAGUCAUUCUUUGGGCAAAGAAUGAGAACUUGCAGCUCCUUAUUGUUUCCUGGCAUGAACCUAGUACCUUUUUAACUUGCUUUUAUUGCCUCUUUGGCUGUGUGGAGCAUUUAUCUAAAUAUAGACUGGUACAACACUAUGAACAGGACUGGAAUAAGAUAAAAUUUUCUUUCCGAUCAAUUCUGUUACAUCUUCUUGUGAACACUAGGUACUGUUCUUUUCUCAGAGUGGCAAGAGUAGGCAGCAAAAAGAGAUGAUAUUGAGUUGCAAAGCUUUUCUAAGUGGAAGUCAAUCACUGCCAGGCCUUUUAAAGUCACGAGGCCCAGGUACUGAGUGCUCUGGACACUGGAUCUGCCUAUGGCCUUAGGCAAACCACAUAAUCAUGGUCAGCAACAUACACUGCCCCUUGGAGGCAGGGUGGUGGAGUGGAAGGGGCACAGGCUUUGACAGAACCCAAUUGGAUCUAAUGCCCUGCCACUUAUUUUGGGGUGACCUUGGGUAAGUUCCUUAUUCUCAUUUCUAAAAGGGGGCAAUACUAAUAAAAUCUAUCUCUUAGGGCUCUUGUGAGGAUUAAAUGUGAUGAAUAUAUGUAACUUACUCAGCACAUUUUCAAGAAAUAGCAGCUAUUAUUUUUUUGUAGGUAGGUACUUUGUGGCAUUAAUAUAUCAAAUGCAACCAUAUCUUUAAUUUUAUUUCCAGGAGGAAUAAUCCAUAUAUAUUUAUUAAAGAUAUUAACAAAAAGCAGCUCUCACCUUCUUGUGAAUCAGAUCCAAAUCCCUUAACGUCUUCAUUGAUUCAGGUGAGAGGAUUUCAUUACUGCAGGAGUGCACUAUAGUAAUUAGAGCAGAGUCUCUGGUCUCAGGGUUCAAAACUUGGUAUGUGAUAUUGAGCCAAUUGCUUAAGUUCACUGGGCCACAAUCCUUGAUCUGCGACUUCAAAUUGAAACUAUUUAUAGGCUUUACUUGCUUAAUAUAAAUCUUUCUAUUUUGGGUGCAGAAAUAUUGGGUUUGAUUCUAAGGGACCACCCCAGACCUUGGUGGGUGUUCUGUAAUAUCUGUCAUAUGCACCCUGUUGCCUUUAUUAAUUCUGCAUUCUGAGUUGCAAAACUCAUCUGGUUUCCAGAGAUUUGGGGAUCUAUGAUAUACCCUCAUAGGGUCGCUGAGCUAUAGUCACUUCAUGCCCCCCCUCCGAAUCUUAUUAGCUAUUAUUAUCAUCUUGGAAUGGUUUUUUGAUGUGGCGGUUAUUCUCCCAUUUUACAUAUGAGGAAAAUAAGACCCAGAAAAGUUAAAUCACCACAUAGCUCAUAUGUGAUAUGGUCAGAAUACAAGCAAGGCAUUUCUGACAUCAGAUCCCAUGCAUUCUGUUGAAUUCAUUCUGUUGAAUUCCCAGGACCCUGUACAUGCCCUGGCAGGGCCAGCCUCAAUUAAGAUUCCACCUGGAGAGAUUAGAGUCUACAGUUAAGAAAACACAAUCAACUGGGACUGUCCUCUUCAGGCAUCUCACAAGCAGACCAGUUCUGGUGUGGGCUCCUCACCCUCCUUUAGCGGCUGUGCAGAGGAUGGAAGGGUGGGUCCCGGAAGGCUCCCACAGGGUCUGCCAACCACAUGGCUUGAGAAGGGAGCUGGCCUGCACACCGUCCUUUGCUGAUUUCUCCUAAGGGAUGUGAGCAGAGCAUUGACAGGGUCUGUGAUACACCCUUUAGCAUAAUUCUGUGCCAUAGCAGGAACAGUCUAUUUUGUGAAAAGCUCAGGAUGAAGGCUGUCUCUCUCACUACUGUUUUGAUGUUCACUGACAAACCCACCUACCAUCAAAUGAUUCCCACCACACUGCCUGCCAUGGUGCCUGAAAUUUGUGCUAUAAGCCAUCAGUCUCCAGAGACUACCAAUAAAAUGUCUGGACAGUAGGGUAGGGGAUGAGGGAAGGAUAAGAGGUGGGUCACCAUCACUGAAGAGUCUGGGUGAACUGGGGUACUAGCUCCCAGGCUGGAGGUGGCCUCUGACAGACAUGGCCUCUGAGGAGUGUAGCACCAAACACGGACCCAAAAGCACCCCUCAGAAAAGGAAAGGGAUGAAGGGGUCAUUUGCCUGUUUUACACAUUUAUCCAGAUCAGGACCUGGAAGGGAAGACCUCCUUCACUGUUGCUGAGACUGCGAGCUCUUGGAAGACGGUGACUGUCUUUUUGUCUCUCUCUCUCCCCAGAACUCAGCAGAGUAACCCAUGACUUGUUUGACUGAACAGAGUGCCCAUGGGUUCAGUGCUCUGCUCUAGUCUCCACCUGCCAGUUUCCUUCUGACACUGCUAUGAGCAACCCCCAUAUUUAUGCAGAUGAGUGCUCCAUAACUCCACUUCUCUUCAAUAAGAAGAAAGAGCAACACCGCUAACAACUUAUUGUUGGUGGUGAGACUUUGGGCAAAUUAAUGAGCUCUCUGUUUAUUCAUUGAUAAAAUGUAGAGAAUGCCCCUGGCUUCCCACACUUGUGGUGAGGACUCAGUAAGGUUCUUGUGGACUGAUUGUGUCCCUCUCUAAAUUCCCCAAUUCACACACUGAAGCUCUAAUCUCCAGUGUGAUUGUUUUUGGAGUUAGGCCCUAUAUGGAGGUAAUCAAAUUAACAGAGGUCAUGAGAGUGGGGCCUUAAUCCAACAGGACUAAUAUUCUUAUAAAAUGGGGAAGAAACAGGAUACCAGAGAUCUCUAUCUCUCUCCCCCUUCUCUCUCUCUCUCUCUCUCUCUCUCUCUCUCUCUCUGUGUCUCUCUCUCUUUCCCAGUUGUACACAGAAGAAAGCCCAUAUGAGGACACAGCAAGAAGGUGGCUGUCUUCAAGCCAAGAAGAGAGGCCUCAUCAGAGAUGGAAUGUUCCUGCACUUCGGUCUGGAUUUCUAGUGUCCAGAACUGUGAGAAAAUAAAUUUCUGUUGUUUAA
rnacentral:lncRNA from 1 species